rnacentral:rRNA from 1 species
GAUGAACGCUGACAGAAUGCUUAACACAUGCAAGUCAACUGUGGCGGACGUGUGAGUAACGCGUAAAGAACUUGCCUCACUGCUAGGGACAACAUUUGGAACCGAAUGCUAAUACCUGAUACUGUGAGAGAGCUUUGCGUCCCAUUAGCUAGUUGGAGAGGUAACGGCUCACCAAGGCGAUGAUGGGUAGCCGGCCUGAGAGGGUGAUCGGCCACAAGGGGACUGAGAGACGGCCCUGACGCCAACGGGGGGCAGCAGUGGGGAAUAUUGGACAAUGGACCAGAGUCUGAUCCAGCAAUUCUGUGUGGAAGAUGAAGUUUUCGGAAUGUAAAGGGUUUUCAGUUGGGAAGCGGUACCAAAAGAAGAAGGGACGGCUAAAUACGUGCCAGCAGCCGCGGUAAUAC